rnacentral:tmRNA from 1 species
GGGGCUGUUACGGAUUCGACAGGCAUUGUCGAGCUCGAAUCGCGCUUCGAAGGUUACGUCUUCGUUAAAACGUUACAGUUAAAUAUAACUGCUAAAAACGAAAACAACUACGCUUUAGCUGCCUAAUAACAGUUUAGCGUGAUCCUCCCGGCAUCGCCCAUGUGCUCGGGUCAGGGUCUCAAAUGAAGUGGGAUACGCUAAGUCUUUCCGUCUGCAAGCCUUAGAAGAGAUCAUCAGACUAGCAACAUCAGUAGCCUGUCAUUCGGCGAUUGAUCGCGCGAAACCUUAAAUAGAACUGACUAUGAGCGUAGACUUUUGGGUAGCGAGAUGUUUGGACGCGGGUUCGACUCCCGCCAGCUCCA